GUUUAUAAGGUCGUAGCAGAACAGACCGUGGUCCUAGGUGGCAACCGAAACGGAGAGUUGGAAUUGCCCGACCUCUCAUCGCAGUAGAGGUUGAUCACGCGCUCUCUGUGGGCUCUGGAUAAGUCUCUGAAAGUUUCCGUUCUGUGAAAUGCCCUUGCCCACCUCUUAAGCAACAGAAAAUUUCCACUGAGACAGUCGGAGUGAAACUAAAUUCCAGGGGUUCCCUUCUCAAUGUGACUCUAGCAGGGGCUGGAAGCAGUGUCUUCAAUCAAACUGUGUUAUCUCAUGGUCCUGCAGGAGAGGUGGAAUCAGCAUAUCUUUAUUGAUGUCUUCCUUGGUUUCCCAGGGUCUGG